GAAUCACUCCUUAGUUCCUUAUCUCUGACAGAUAACGGGGAGGGGAGGUGACUGAGGGAGGUUUGAGACAAGACAAAAGAAGGGAGAAGAGAGGAAAAACAGGAGAGACAGGCGCUGGAUAGGUGAGCAGUGGCUCGCACAGCUGAAUGAAGAGAAAGUGAAGAGAAUAAAGCAAAACAACUCAAGGAAAGAAAAGCUGGGGAGAAAACAUCCAGAUAUGUGCCAAUGAUGUGAGCUGUCUGUCUGAUGGUGAAGAUCUCCUCCCACUCAUUCAUCCCCUGCAGGAGGCUGUGUAUGGAGGCCACCAGCUGCUGCACCGACACUCACAUCUCAUGAGGGAGGAGAUGGAACUCAAUCUCACCUAAGGAGGAUUAAGGGGUUGAGUGUGUGCAUGAGGACAGUGUUGAUACAGUGUUAGUAAAUACAGCAAAUGCAUGGUCAGAGGAUAAUUAACCUGCUGUGCUCAUUUUCACUGUCUAUGGUAUUUCUUAUCUUUGCAGGUAGACUCUGGAAUAUUGAUUGGAGUCCCAGGUUAUAAAUCUGUCAGAUUUUUUUUUUUAUGUAAGAGGGACACUGGCCUAGGUCAAAAAAGGCUCACCGAGUGCCAGACACUCCCAAAGGAAAGAGCCAAAUAAAUUGCCAAAAAUUGGAGUACAAGUGUCUUGGAGCCUCCCUCUUGAAAGGAUUCAAGUCACAGGAAGGAAGAAUUACAGAGGUUACUAGAAAAGGAGAGAAUAAUUAAGAAUACUGCUUAACUCUUGCAUUAGAGAGGUGAAGAGAAUAGGGGUGAAAGUCUUGUGCAGGAAUAUUGAGGGAGGAGGGGAGGCAUGCCAUUAGCAAGAUUACUAAAGCAGUCAGUGUGAAAAUAGUGGUAGGAAACAGCAGGAGGUGCAACACUGUGGUGAUGUGGGAGAGAGGCUGAGGACAAAGUAAAGGAGUUGAUGAGAUUGGGCCAACUUGGGUACCACCAAGUAACCUAACUGUCCUGCAGGCCUGAGUACAGAGUCUGGUGUGUUGGUAUAUUGGGAGGUGAAUGCAGAUCCAAUUGUGAUUUUUCCCAUAACCAUGAUGUGGGUAUAAAAAAGUAUAUAUUUAAAAAAAGUAUUAUAUUUCUAUUAAUUUUAUUUUAGUUUUUAUCUUUUAAUUGUAUUUUGCAUUCUAAUUUGUAUUUAUUUAUUUAUUAAUUUUCUAUUUGUUUGUUGUGGUCAAAGGGUGCAUGUGUUUAUACUCAGGCAGUUCCAAUACUAUAUAACUCUGGAUCAUAGCUAGGUCAUUUAUAAAUUCUUGUAAAGGAUUUAAAUUUAAAUUGCAAUAUAGUUAGUUGCCUAUCAACAAAUUAAUAUGUUUUGCUAGAAAUACAGUAAAUUUCCUUCUAUCUUCAACAUCCUGCUAUCUAAUCACUUGAGAGGCUUAAAACUAAACAUAUUAGCAUAGAUAUUUCAAAAUAGUUUCUAAUUUGUUUGAGGAUAAAUAAGCUUAUAUUCUUCCAUUUUAGUAUCACCCAAAAUUAGAAAAUUUCAAAUAAGUUUCUAAUUUGUUUGAGGAUAAAUAAGUUUAUAUUCUUCCAUUUUAGUAUCAUCCAAAAUCUGAACAUUUCAAAUAAUCUUCCCAGAUUACACAAGCUUAAAAACAAUAUUCUAUACAAUCUGCUCAUAAUCUUACAAAACCUGACAGAUGAUAAUGAGAUCAGGAUAUGAAACAGAAAAACAACAAACAGGAAUUACAAUGAAAAAAGAGCCAGUUGUGUAUUCCCUCCUCACACUGACUGAUCCUCUCAUUCUCCUCUCACUCCUUUCUCUCACACACUCUUCUUGCUAUCAAGGACUUGCCAACACUACAAAAAUUUGAUUUACUUACUACUUACUUCAACCCUUGUAUUCCCUCCUCAUAAUGACUAAUCCUUUCAUUCCACUCUCACUUUCUCUCAUACACUCCUCCAAUGCUAUCAGACUGACCAAUGACACAUGAAACUGAGAAAACAAGCAGAGAGGAAGAAUUACAGGAAAAAAAAAAAAAAAAAAAAGCCACUACUUACUCCUGUCACUAUUCCCUCCACACUAAUUCUCUCAUUCUCCUCUCACUCCUUUCUCCCACACACUCCUCCACUGGUGACAAAGACUCACCAAGACCAGUGAGAGGCUUGAUCUUGUCACCACGAGUCACAGCUUGGUGGUGUUCGAAUAUCCUGGGCAUGUCAGGGCUCAAGAUUGGGUACAGCGAGGCAAACACCAGCAUGAGGAAGAGAUCCUAGGAGUAUGGGAUGAUGACCAGGGGGAGGAAGAGAUCCUCGGAGUAUGGGAUGAUGACCAGGGGGAGAGCUUGAGUGCCAGGGACAUGAAAGCUGUGAGUGCUGGCCAGCCACACCCACCAUGUUGCCCAUCCAGGUCAGCACAGUUGCUCCAAAUCAGUGGUCAGCACAGUGUCAUCCACAUCCCUGCCACCAUAAUGUGUGUAGGUGUGCAAGCCGAAGUGGGCCAAGGUGAUGACGAUGCAGUACUGGAAGCUGGAUGCCUGGAUCACAUCUUUGAGAAUACUGACCGUGGUGGACUACUCAGCAGGAAGGCCUCACUCACUGGACUACUCAGCAGGAAGGCCACCUUGAUGUCCCUCUCCAUUGCCCUUCUGUUGAGGGCAAUGGCAAAAUGAAUGAUGAAAUUGAGAAGUUAGCAAUACUUAGCAACAAAUUAAUGGUCUAUCUAUUUAUACACCAGGCCCCUGUUGCCACCCAUAUCUUGAGGGUGAUGGCAAAGGUGAAUAAUGAACUUAACAGAGGUUAGCAAUAUCGAGCAACAGAUUUAAUGAUCUAUCUACAUACCAGGCCAGCGAUCCCAUACGUGAUGGCCCAAAUAGAGCAAUGCAUGUUCACACACACACAUCACUCACACUCUUACCCCUGUUGCCACUCAGUGGAAAGAGAUAAUCUCAAUGAAAGCCAUACAAUAUUCUACUCAAUAAAUAGCCAUGAAAUAAAAAGGAACUAUAAUCUAACACUAAAAUAUUUAUCACUCUGUUCCUAAAACUAAGCACAAUAACAGGAGGGCUGACAAUGGAGAGGGAAAUGUAACAAAUUGAAUUGAUUUUGUCAAACAGUGAGAAAUUAUGAUAACAAAUGAAAUAAUGAAAGAGAAAUACCAAGGAAUCAAAGCCCACAACAUGACACGGUUAUGUUACACAAGAUCUGCAUCUUGCAAAGAAGCAGGGCACUAAUACAAGACUGCCAUUACUAUUACUACCAUCUCAAUAAUGCUUGUCUAAUUAGCAGUACAAUGAAUCUGCUGAAUGCAUGUGUUAUUUUUAUUUAUAUGAUAGGAUUGCCUAAAAAGAGGUCUUCUAUCAUCAUGAAUUAAAAGCUUCAUGCACUGCCUUUAGAGUUAGUUAGUUUUUUUUUUUUUUUUUUUCUUGGUCUGGGAAGUAUAAGUCUCUCUUACUUAAAACAACAACAACAACAACAAUAAUAAUAGUAAUAAUAACAACAGUAAUCAUUUUAUUUCACUAUCAGACAUAUCUUACACUAUGGAAUAGAGAACAAAAAAACUUAUGAACAAUAUACUUAUGAACUACUAUGGUACUG